rnacentral:rRNA from 1 species
GAACGUGAAGCAGGAGCUUGCUCCUGUGGAAGGUGGCAGACGGGUGAGUAACGCGUGGGAAUUUACCCAGUGGUUCGGAAUAACGCAUGGAAACGUGUGCUAAUACCGAAUACGCCCUCCGGGGGAAAGAUUUAUCGCCAUUGGAUGAGCCUGCGUCGGAUUAGCUUGUUGGUGAGGUAAAAGCUCACCAAGGCGACGAUCCGUAGCUGGUCUGAGAGGAUGAUCAGCCACACUGGGACUGAGACACGGCCCAGACUCCUACGGGAGGCAGCAGUGGGGAAUAUUGCGCAAUGGAGGAAACUCUGACGCAGCCAUGCCGCGUGAGUGAAGAAGGCCUUAGGGUUGUAAAACUCUUUCACCGGUGAAGAUAAUGACGGUAGCCGGAGAAGAAGCCCCGGCCAACUCCGUGCCAGCAGCCGCGGUAAUACGGAGGGGGCUAGCGUUGUUCGGAUUUACUGGGCGUAAAGCGCGCGUAGGCGGGCUGGUUAGUUGGGGGUGAAAUCCCGAGGCUCAACCUCGGAACUGCCCUCAAUACUGCCAGUCUUGAGUUCGAGAGAGGUGAGUGGAAUUCCUAGUGUAGAGGUGAAAUUCGUAGAUAUUAGGAAGAACAC